rfam:Glycine max cultivar Williams 82 chromosome 18, whole genome shotgun sequence.
CCGACCUUAGCUCAGUUGGUAGAGCGGAGGACUGUAGUGGGGAUCCCUAGCUGAAAUCCUUAGGUCGCUGGUUCGAAUCCGGCAGGUCGGA